AUUCAUGACAGAGGCAUUGCUGGCCACAUAGUCCAGGGCCAGCCAGAGGUCGCAAGCCAGCGUGCCCAGAGCCCAGUGGCCCAUGAGCAGCUGAGGAAUUUGAGGCUGAGAAAAGCAAGAGAAUUUGCACAAGAUCACACAACCAGGAUCUGAGCCCAGGCAGUUUGUUCCAAUGAAACUUCAUUUAUAAAAACUGAAGGCAAGUAUGAAAUGAAGUAUAUUGAGGAAGGACAAGAUAGAUUUACAGAGCAAGAGCAAGAGCAAGAUCAAGACUAAGAGAAAGAUAUGUUCACCACAGAGCAGCAAACAGACCCCUCUGUCGUGACAAAAGGGCUGUGAUUUGUCUCGAUCACUGAGUUUUAUUGUACCUGUGAGGCUGCUGGUGGAUACCACACUUGAGUUUGCCCGAUACAACUCUUGUCACUUUGAUUUUCUGAAAUGAGUGCUGUUUAAUGCCCAUUGCACAAAGGGAGCAACUGAGGCGCAGAGAAAAUGGGGUAGAAAGGAUCAUUAGCUCAAGGUCCCCUGGCUCCUUGACUGGGUGCUGCCCCCCAUGUCACACCCGCCAGGUAGCCUGGAGCAGCUCUGUAGCCCCGGCCUGGGCAAAGACCUGCAGAGGCUCAGACCAGAGGAGCUUGCCGGCCUGAGCACUGCACCCUGCCCAGCUGCAGGCGCCUCUCAUCAGCGUGAGCAGAUUUCAAAGCUUAGCCCCUUGUCCCACAGCAGGUAGGACUAGGGUAAGGCAAGUCAGGCACUUGCUUCAGGUGCAAAAUUUAAGGGGUGCCUCAAAACUCAGUAAUUAAGAAAAUAUUUUCAUGCAAUAUUUAUAAGAAUGGCAAUUAAUGCAAAAAAGUCCAUGAUGAACAUGUUAAACAAAGACAGGAUCCAGCCCUGCACUUGCACAACAGCCCCCUAUCACUUGCCUCACUCUGAUCCUGGCCCUGGUUCUAAUAAAACUUUAUUUGCAAAAUCAGAUGGCCAGUCUAUGGGCUAUAAUUUGCUAUUUGAUUUUUUAAAAUAUUACAUUACGAUAUUAUCUUGAUUAGUGAGCCUUUUUGUCCCCCCUCCUACCCCCCCUUUUAAAUUUUGCUCUGAGGCGAGUGCCUCACUUGACUCACCCUAGUCCUGGCAUUGUGGAUCCCAGCCUUGGGUUGUCCCUUUCUAGCUGUGUGACCAUCAGCAAUCACUCCGCUUUCAUUCCCCUGCUACCCUCAUUCCCCAGCUGAGGGGGAUAAUAGCGUUCAAAGCUCCUGGCA